AACAAGGCGUACCUGCGGACCUGCGGAAGGAUCAUUACCGAGUGUGAACCCCCCCGUAAAAAAGAGGGGUUACCUCCCGUCCUUUGCUGGGAACCCCUUUCCAACUUGGAAGGAGGUUGUUUUCAGACCCUUCUGCUUCGGUGGGGUAACCCACCGGAACAACCUCAAAAAUAUUCUCAAUUCAAAACCGUUCAGUCCGAGAACUUUUUUGAAAAGCGAAAAAACUUUUAACAAUGGAUC
rnacentral:misc_RNA from 1 species